rnacentral:rRNA from 1 species
UCGAACGGCAGCACGGAGCUUGCUCUGGUGGCGAGUGGCGAACGGGUGAGUAAUAUAUCGGAACGUACCCUAGAGUGGGGGAUAACGUAGCGAAAGUUACGCUAAUACCGCAUACGAUCUAAGGAUGAAAGGGGGGGAUCGCAAGACCUCUCGCUAUUGGGGCGGCCGAUAUCAGAUUAGCUAGUUGGUGGGGUAAAGGCCUACCAAGGCAACGAUCUGUAGUUGGUCUGAGAGGACGACCAGCCACACUGGGACUGAGACACGGCCCAGACUCCUACGGGAGGCAGCAGUGGGGAAUUUUCCGCAAUGGGCGAAAGCCUGACGGAGCAACGCCGCGUGAGGGAUGAAGGCCUCUGGGCUGUAAACCUCUUUUAUCAAGGAAGAAGAUCUGACGGUACUUGAUGAAUAAGCCACGGCUAAUUCCGUGCCAGCAGCCGCGGUAAU